rnacentral:lncRNA from 1 species
GUGUCCGCCAGACGGCGCCAAAGCGCGGCAGAGCUGCUCUGGCUCUGCCUGGCUGCAACUCCAGGCUCAGAAUGGGCCUGGAGCAGGAUGGAAGGAAACGCAAGGAGGGCCCAGACAGAGCCUUGUGUUGGUGUACCGGGUACCUGUGACGCUGUGGCCGUUUUGUGUCAACAUGCAGUCUGUGCCCCAGCAACUGGAGCGCUGGACGGGCCGUCGAGGGCCUGCGUGCCCUUUGCUCCUUGGGGGGCACGGCGCUGGGACCCAGGAGGACCCGGCUUGAGUCCUGGACAUGCGGAUUUCUAGAGUCAGGCAGGGGAGGCAUCCGGCCUCUGGAAGGCUGGGCUUCAGGUAGUGAAGGCGGUGUGUCACUGCGGGGUAUCUGGGGAGGCGUGCCGAGCCUCUCCGUGUGCGCGUCCCCUCCAGAAAUCUCCCACAUCCCCUGCUUCUCUCUCCACCAGAGCCGCCUCUCCCUCUGCCGACUGCCUGCCUGCCCCUGCCUGCCUGCCUGCCUGCCUGUGCCAAGAAGCCUACCCGAAUCGAGGGAAGAGAGAACGAUGCCCGGGAGCGCCUUAACUUCACGCCGGGCGCAAGGGCGGAAGGGGGCCGAUUGGUUGACAGCCGGCUGCCUUGCCUUAAGAAGCAGGGCGUCUGAUGUCAAGCCGCCUCUCCCUCUGCCGACUGCCUGCCUGCCUGCCUGCCUGCCUGCCUGUGCCAAGAAGCCUACCCGAAUCGAGGGAAGAGAGAACGAUGCCCGGGAGCGCCUUAACUUCACGCCGGGCGCAAGGGCGGAAGGGGGCCGAUUGGUUGACAGCCGGCUGCCUUGCCUUAAGAAGCAGGGCGUCUGAUGUCAGUGAGUGGGGCGGUUUCGUUGGGGGCGAGAGGCCUGGCCGACCUUGCGAGGGUCUUCCCCACGCCCCUGGUGCAUUUCAACGUGCGGCGAGGGUGAGGGGUGUGGAGAUCACGCUGGCGAGUGCCCCAGGCCCCUGCAGACCAGGCCGCUUUCUCCCCCUGGGGGUGCCAGAGAAGGGCAGAGCGUUGCUGUUACGGCAGGUGUCCGCCAGACGGCGCCGCCGGCAGAGCUGCUCUGGCUCUGCCUGGCUGCAACUCCAGGCUCAGAAUGGGCCUGGAGCAGGAUGGAAGGAAACGCAAGGAGGGCCCAGACAGAGCCUUGUGUUGGUGUACCGGGUACCUGUGACGCUGUGGCCGUUUUGUGUCAACAUGCAGUCUGUGCCCCAGCAACUGGAGCGCUGGACGGGCCGUCGAGGGCCUGCGUGCCCUUUGCUCCUUGGGCCUGCGUGCCCUUUGCUCCUUGGGGGGCACGGCGCUGGGACCCAGGAGGACCCAGCUUGAGUCCUGGACAUGCGGAUUUCUAGAGUCAGGCAGGGGAGGCAUCCGGCCUCUGGAAGGCUGGGCUUCAGGUAGUGAAGGCGGUGUGUCACUGCGGUGGUAUCUGGGGAGGCGUGCCGAGCCUCUCGUGUGCGCGUCCCCUCCAGAAAUCUCCACAUCCCCUGCUUCUCUCUCCACCAGAGCCGCCUCUCCCUCUGCCGACUGCCUGCCUGCCUGCCUGCCUGCCUGCCUGCCUGCCUGUGCCAAGAAGCCUACCCGAAUCGAGGGAAGAGAGAACGAUGCCCGGGAGCCUUAACUUCACGCCGGGCGCAAGGGCGGAAGGGGCCGAUUGGUUGACAGCCGGCUGCCUUGCCUUAAGGAGCAGGGCGUCUGAUGUCAGUGAGUGGGGCGGUUUCGUUGGGGGCGAGAGGCCUGGCCGACCUUGCGAGGGUCUUCCCCACGCCCCUGGUGCAUUUCAACGUGCGGCGAGGGUGAGGGGUGUGGAGAUCACGCUGGCGAGUGCCCCAGGCCCCUGCAGACCAGGCCGCUUUCUCCCCCUGGGGGUGCCAGAGAAGGGCAGAGCGUUGCUGUUACGGCAGGUGUCCGCCAGACGGCGCCAAAGCGCCGGCAGAGCUGCUCUGGCUCUGCCUGGCUGCAACUCCAGGCUCAGAAUGGGCCUGGAGCAGGAUGGAAGGAAACGCAAGGAGGGCCCAGACAGAGCCUUGUGUUGGUGUACCGGGUACCUGUGACGCUGUGGCCGUUUUGUGUCAACAUGCAGUCUGUGCCCCAGCAACUGGAGCGCUGGACGGGCCGUCGAGGGCCUGCGUGCCCUUUGCUCCUUGGGGGGCACGGCGCUGGGACCCAGGAGGACCCGGCUUGAGUCCUGGACAUGCGGAUUUCUAGAGUCAGGCAGGGGAGGCAUCCGGCCUCUGGAAGGCUGGGCUUCAGGUAGUGAAGGCGGUGUGUCACUGCGGUGGUAUCUGGGGAGGCGUGCCGAGCCUCUCCGUGUGCGCGUCCCCUCCAG